rnacentral:rRNA from 1 species
UACGUAGGUGGCAAGCGUUUGUCCGGAAUUAUUGGGCGUAAAGCGCGCGCAGGCGGUCCUUUAAGUCUGAUGUGAAAGCCCACGGCUCAACCGUGGAAGGUCAUUGGAAACUGGAGGACUUGAGUACAGAAGAGGAAAGCGGAAUUCCACGUGUAGCGGUGAGAUGCGUAGAGAUGUGGAGGAACACCAGUGGCGAAGGCGGCUUUCUGGUCUGUAACUGACGCUGAGGCGCGAAAGCGUGGGGAGCAAACAGG